UAAGGAAUAUUGGACAAUGCCCGCAAGGGUGAUCCAGCCAUGCCGCGUGCAGGAAGACGGUCCUAUGGAUUGUAAACUGCUUUUACACCGGAGAAAACCCCCUCUUGCGAGAGGGGCUGAUAGUAUGGUGAGAAUAAGCAUCGGCUAACUUCGUGCCAGCAGCCGCGGUAAGACGAAGGAUGCAAGCGUUAUCCGGAUUCAUUGGGUUUAAAGGGAGCGUAGGCGGUCUUGUAAGUCAGUGGUGAAAUCUAUGGGCUUAACCCAUAAAUUGCCAUUGAUACUGCAGGACUUGAGUACAGAUGCCGUUGGCGGAAUAUGACAUGUAGUGGUGAAAUACAUAGAGAUGUCAUAGAACACCGAUUGCGAAGGCAGCUGACGAAACUGUAACUGACGCUGAGGCUCGAAAGUGUGGGGAUCAAACAGGAUUAGAUACCCGCGUAGUCC
rnacentral:rRNA from 1 species